rnacentral:lncRNA from 1 species
AAGCUGAUGGGAGAAGAGGAGAAGUGUGAGGAGAGGGAUGAAGAGUGUAGGAAGAGAAGGAUGACCACUGAAACUCACUUAGACUACAUCUACACUCAAAGCCACCACAAGCCUUAACCAUCCCCAACCCUCUUUAUUUAUUUUAUUUAUGCAUUAUAUUAUUAUUAUUAUUAUUAUUAUGUGAAACUUAAAAAUAAAGGUUUAGUCUGGGAAAUACGAGGUAAUCCAAAAAUAAAUGUAAAUAAUAAAUAAAUAAAAAGAUGUAUUUCCUUUUUCUUUUUGAUUUUGCUUAUUCCUUUACAUAUAUAUAAAGGGUUAGA